UAAUACGUAGGGUGCAAGCGUUAAUCGGAAUUACUGGGCGUAAAGCGUGCGCAGGCGGUUUGAUAAGCCAGAUGUGAAAUCCCCGAGCUCAACUUGGGAACUGCGUUUGGAACUGUCAGACUAGAGUGCGUCAGAGGGGGUGGAAUUCCGCGUGUAGCAGUGAAAUGCGUAGAGAUGCGGAGGAACACCGAUGGCGAAGGCAGCCCCCUGGGAUGACACUGACGCUCAUGCACGAAAGCGUGGGAGCAAACAGGAUUAGAUACCCCGGUAGUCCACGCCCUAAACGAUGUCAAUUAGCUGUUGGGGUUAGAAUCCCUGGUAGCGUAGCUAACGCGUGAAAUUGACCGCCUGGGGAGUACGGCCGCAAGGUUAAAACUCAAGGAAUUGACGGGGCCCGCACAAGCGGUGGAUGAUGUGGAUUAAUUCGAUGCAACGCGAAGAACCUUACCUGCUCUUGACAUGUACGGAACUUGCCAGAGAUGGCUUGGUGCCCGAAAGGGAGCC
rnacentral:rRNA from 1 species